CAUCAUCGAACUGGAAAAGGACUUACGGGAACAUGUCUCUCGACUUCACUGUUUGGUUAGAAAGGUAGUUUUAUUGCUGUUGGAGAAAAGUUCUCUUUGCAAAAAUUUGGAGGAACAACGAACAGUACUUACUCUACAGUGCACCUCGCUGAAGAAUCUAGUAGCUGUCACGAAGGACCUGUUGGCUUUGAGAAACACUGAAGUCGAGCAGCUAUAUAAAAAAUAUGAAUGAUAUGGAGGAAAGAAUUAAUUUGGAAAAAAAUAAGCAACAAAACAUCCUUAACACUUUGUCUGAGUCUGCA